CCGCGCAGCCGGGGAGACAGCGGUGCCCUGUACCCACAAUCCGCUAUAGUGGGGGUGAUAUUCUGCCUAGGGUAAUUUCUUGUGAGGCUGCCCUCUGUAAGUGGCGUUGACGUUUCGGUCUUACGCAAUAGGAGCUUGUGAACCGUGUCAGGUUGGGAACAAAGCAGCACUAAGCAAGAAUUCUUAUGUGAUGUAAGGUCGCCGGGACUGAGUUAACUGCAGAGGUAACGCUUAUGAGGGUUAUUCGAAGCAGAAUGCGUGG
rnacentral:SRP_RNA from 2 species